rnacentral:rRNA from 3 species
GGGUACGCCCGGUCCCUUUCCGAACCCGGAAGCUAAGCCCGAUUGCGCUGAUGGUACUGCACCUGGGAGGGUGUGGGAGAGUAGGUCGCCGCCAACC